CUUCUAAACUAGUCUUGUAGGUUUGCCUGCAAGAAGAAAUCGUAGAAGCCUCAGGACGAGGAAGCGGAAUAGUGUUUGUAGCGUAGGAAAUAGCAUGUCUGAGGUGAAGCAAGCCAGGCACAUUUGAGGAUCUGGAAGAGAUUCAAUGUGACUCAUAGUUGUGGAAAUGUUGAUUAUGGAAGAAUCCCACAAGAGUAACACUUCAGAGACUGCACCUCAGCCUGGUUCAGCAAUUCAGGGGACUCACAUUUCUCAGAUAGCCCAUCCGGUGUCAUCUUUAUCAGAAAGUGAGGAGUCUCAGGACUCAUCUGACAGCAUAAGCUCCUCACAGAAAGCUCACGGGAUCCUGGCCCGGCGACCAUCUUACAGGAAAAUACUGAAAGACCUUUCUUCUGAAGAUACACGGGGAAGAAAAGGAGACGGAGAAAAUCCAGGCAUUUCUGCUGUUACUUCUAUGUCUGUUCCAACCCCCGUCUAUCAGACCAGCAGUGGACAGUACAUUGCCAUUGCCCCAAAUGGAGCCUUACAGUUGGCCAGUCCAGGAACAGAUGGAGUUCAGGGACUGCAGACAUUAACUAUGACAAAUUCAAGCAAUACUCAACAAGGUACAAUCCUUCAAUAUGCACAGACUUCUGAUGGACAGCAAAUACUCGUCCCAAGCAACCAAGUAGUUGUGCAGACUGCAUCAGGAGAUAUGCAGACCUAUCAGAUCCGUACCACACCGUCUGCUGCUUCCCUGCCACAGACUGUGGUGAUGACUUCUCCUGUGACCCUUACAUCUCAGGCCACAAAGACAGAUGACCCCCAGCUGAAAAGGGAAAUACGGCUGAUGAAAAACAGGUGGGUGUAAUGAGUUGUGUGUAUCUCCUAGUCACACAUUACCUGAUUAGGUGAUUAGAAAGGAGGUUUGGCUCAGCGUUAUUUUUACCAUAUUGCUGGGUUAUAUCUGGUUCAUUCCCAUGGAUCAGCGGGCUCAUUUGUAAGUUUCUGUACUAAACAGCCUAUCACCAGACUUCAUUAUUACUUUGUCCUUUGAAAUAGCAUUGUUUAGAGACAGGGCAGAUGGUUCUGUGAUUAAGAGCACUGGCUGCUCUUCCAGAAGACCCAGAUUCAAUUCUCAGCACCCACAUGGUAGCUUAAAACUCCAAUUCUAGGGGACCUUAAAUCCGAUGUAGCCUGUUUGGGCAUUGCACACAUGUGAUGUACAGGCAUACACACAAGCAAAGCACCUAUAUACAUAAAAUAAGAAUAAAUUAUUUUACAAAAUGAAGAAGCAUUGCUAGGCAAAGCUUUUUGAACAGCAUCUCCUGUUAGGCACACCCUAGAGGUUCUGGGCACGGUCCCACAACAGUAGCACAGCAGACGCCACAGUAAGCAAGCCUUGCCAGGUACAACAGUCGUGUGUGCACUAUACUUGAGCCAUCGAUGGCACUGAAAAGAUAAGAUACGUAUUGUAAUCGGCAAUGAUCACAUCUUGCUAAACAGUACCAGCAUCAUCUGAGCUUUUUAAUAUUUAUUUAUUUAUUAUGCAUACAAUAUUCUGUCUGUGUGUAUGCCUGCAGGCCAGAAGAGGGCACCAGACCCCGUUACAGAUGGUUGUGAGCCACCAUGUGGUUUCCGGGAAUUGAACUCAGGACCUUUGGAAGAGCAGGCAAUGCUCUUAACCGCUGAGCCAUCUCUCCAGCCUCUCAUCUAGCUUUUUUAAGGUGUAGUGGUAGCAGCAGCCCCCUCCUCCUCCAUGGGUUGUUAGUGGCUACUGUUAAUGGUGCUGCUGUUUGCUGAAAGCUAGUGUGGACAGCAGUGAAAUUUGCCACACGAAGUGACAUUUCCUUUCUCUAAUUUCUCUGAACCAUGUUACGCUGGUGGUAGCAUUUUACCCAGAGCAGGGUAUUUUCCAAAAUAGAGUUGGUGACCAUAAUCUCUGCCUCCACCCUACGUAAAGCUAAAUCCAUGUAGUAUCUAUCUUUAUUGCCGUUUGAUCUAGUCACACCACAAAAACUUCCCUUGUUUGCAAUGAGGCUGCUUCAUCUUCUGGCUUCCGUACUCCCUGGAGUCAUCCUUUCCAUGCAGUUUGGCUGGCUGGCUGGGAGGGCUUGCUCUGGCCUGACUUAGCUUUCACCAGCCCUUCUCACCGAGCUGAAUCAUUUGUAGCUUUUCACUUAAACAUUUGAAGGCCACUAUCAGGUUAUAUAAGAGGAUUGACUUCAUGCACAUCUUGAAUGCCAAAGAGCUUCAAGGAGAAAGCCAUUUGAACAGUCAGAACAUAUACUACAUUUCCUAGAACUCACCAUCUUAGCUGGGCGGUUUAUGACUGCAGAACACAGUUAAAAUGCUAAUAUCAAGGGCUGGAGAGAUGGCUCUGCAGUUAAGAGCACUGACUGCUCUUCGGGAAAGAUCCUGAGUUCAGUUCUCAGCAACCACAUGAACUGACAUGUAACAGAACACUGUAUACAUAAUAAGUAAUAAUUUUUUUUAUGGUAACAUGAGGAUCACAGAUGAAGAUGAUUCAGCAGGUACAGGUUCUAGUCUGGAAGCCUAGUGGCCUGAAGUCAAUCCUUGGGACCCACACAAAGAUGGAAGAAAAGAGCCAGCUCCAUCCCAUAGUUGUCCUUUGACGUGUGUGUGUGCGCGCACGCGCGUGCGUGGGUGUGCAUUCAGGCACUAUGGCAAUGUGUCCCCUUCCAUACAUAGUUAAAUUUUUUUAAAGGUAUUUUAAGUCAACAAUCACCAUGAAACAUUUACAUCUUUCUUAAAUAUAUAUUUUUUCCAUUGCCUUGAAUAGCACUGGCUCGUAGCCAACAAUGGCUUUGAUUGUGAUCUUACUCCCACUUUCUGAGUACCAGGAAUAUCAGACCUCCACCAAGUAGGGUCUUGUGUAGUGCUGAGGCUCAAGCCCAGGGCUUCGUACAUGCCAGAUAAUUGCUCCACCAAUUGAGCCAUACUGUCAUCCCCUUAAAUAGAUUUUAGUCAUAUUACUGCAUUCACUUUAAUAUAUCAGGCAUGAAAACUUGCUUCUUUGAGAAAAUGCGUAUACAAUGGUACUCUAUGUACUGUGUUCUAGAGGAGUAAGAAAAGGUGCCAAGAAACUCGGAAUGACAACAAAAGGUCACAGAUGGAGGAGGUGAAAGAUUACAGUAUGACUGGGCUUUUCAGCUACACACACAAUCAUAGGAUAAUGUUUUUAAAGCAGUAAAAUUAGCAUAAAAUAAUUAAUGUGGGUACAUGUAAGUUUAAUUGAAAAUAAAACAUCACUGUUAAAAGGUGACAACAAGGAUUGCUAUCCUUUACUUGUUUGUGUCUCUAGGAAUGCGUUUGUUAGACCGAUAAACAGAUGAUUGUUUUAGAGGGCUCAAGGGAUGACAUAAGAUACGUUAUGUAACUAGAAGAAAACUGAUAAGCUCUUGUACCUGGACACCCCAGAAAGGGUCUUAGAGUGUCACAAGAGUGCUUGUCCCUCGUGUGCAAAGCUUGGUUGAUCCCCAGUGAUAUGUGAUAGAAGCAGGUAUGACACAGGCAGGAGGUAUGCUGUGAGGAUUCAAGGGAGAUUCGAACCAGCCUACGUUACAUGAUGCCCUGUCUCAAAAAAGAUAGUCACAGAGGGGAGUCACUAGAACGGAGACCUCUGUUCUCACAAAGCUACAUUUAAGGGUUGGUGAACUAUAUAAGCUGCCCCUUAUUUAUUCCUAUAUAAUAUAGGAUGAACCUAUAGGAAAGAAACUAAAGACCUGAUGAGGUUAGGAAUGAACGAGAUCUCAGCACCA